UGGGGAAUAUUGCACAAUGGGCGAAAGCCUGAUGCAGCAACGCCGCGUGAGUGAUGAAGGCCUUCGGGUUGUAAAGCUCUGUCUUUUGGGACGAUAAUGACGGUACCAAAGGAGGAAGCCACGGCUAACUACGUGCCAGCAGCCGCGGUAAUACGUAGGUGGCAAGCGUUGUCCGGAUUUACUGGGCGUAAAGGAUGCGUAGGCGGAUUUUUAAGUGAGAUGUGAAAACCCUAAGCUUAACUUGGGGACUGCAUUUCAUACUGGAAAUCUAGAGUGCGGGAGAGGAGAAUGGAAUUCCUAGUGUAGCGGUGAAAUGCGUAGAGAUUAGGAAGAACACCAGUGGCGAAGGCGAUUCUCUGGACCGUAACUGACGCUGAGGCAUGAAAGCGUGGGUAGCAAACAGGAUUAGAUACCCCUGGUAGUCCACGCCGUAAACGAUGAGUACUAGGUGUAGGAGGUAUCGACCCCUUCUGUGCCGCAGUUAACACAAUAAGUACUCCGCCUGGGAAGUACGAUCGCAAGAUUAAAACUCAAAUGAAUUGACGGGGUCAUAGCUG
rnacentral:rRNA from 1 species